CAUUACCGAGUUUACAACUCCCAAACCCCUGUGAACUAUACCAUUUUGUUGCCUCGGCGGCGUCUGCUUCACGGCGGGCCCGCCAGAGGACCCAAACUCUUGCAUUUGAAUUGAGUCUUCUCUGAGUGAUACAAGUAAUAAAUUAAAACUUUCAACAACGGAUCUCUUGGUUCUGGCAUCGAUGAAGAACGCAGCGAAAUGCGAUAAGUAAUGUGAAUUGCAGAAUUCAGUGAAUCAUCGAAUCUUUGAACGCACAUUGCGCCCGCCAGUAUUCUGGCGGGCAUGCCUGUUCGAGCGUCAUUUCAACCCUCAAGCCCCCGGGCUUGGUGUUGGAGAUCGGCAAAACGCCCCUCGCGGGCGCGCCGUCUCCCAAAUCUAGUGGCGGUCUCGCUGUAGCUUCCUCUGCGUAGUAACUCACCUCGCACUGGGACGCGGCGCGGCCACGCCGUUAAACACCCCACUUCUGAAGGUUGACCUCGGAUCAGGUAGGACUACCCGCUGAACUUAAGCAUAUCAAUAAGCGGAGGAAAAGAAACCAACAGGGAUUGCCCUAGUAACGGCGAGUGAAGCGGCAACAGCUCAAAUUUGAAAUCUGGCCCUCGGGUCCGAGUUGUAAUUUGUAGAGGAUGCUUUUGGUGCGGUGCCUUCCGAGUUCCCUGGAACGGGACGCCAUAGAGGGUGAGAGCCCCGUCUGGUUGGAUACCAAUCCUCUGUAAAGCUCCUUCGACGAGUCGAGUAGUUUGGGAAUGCUGCUCUAAAUGGGAGGUAUAUGUCUUCUAAAGCUAAAUACCGGCCAGAGACCGAUAGCGCACAAGUAGAGUGAUCGAAAGAUGA
rnacentral:rRNA from 1 species